rnacentral:rRNA from 1 species
GACGAACGCUGGCGGCGUGCUUAACACAUGCAAGUCGAACGGAAAGGCCCUGCUUUUGUGGGGUGCUCGAGUGGCGAACGGGUGAGUAACACGUGAGUAACCUGCCCUUGACUUUGGGAUAACUUCAGGAAACUGGGGCUAAUACCGGAUAGGAGCUCCUGCUGCAUGGUGGGGGUUGGAAAGUUUCGGCGGUUGGGGAUGGACUCGCGGCUUAUCAGCUUGUUGGUGGGGUAGUGGCUUACCAAGGCUUUGACGGGUAGCCGGCCUGAGAGGGUGACCGGCCACAUUGGGACUGAGAUACGGCCCAGACUCCUACGGGAGGCAGCAGUGGGGAAUAUUGCACAAUGGGCGGAAGCCUGAUGCAGCAACGCCGCGUGCCGGAUGACGGCCUUCGGGUUGUAAACCGCUUUCGCCUGUGACGAAGCGUGAGUGACGGUAAUGGGUAAAGAAGCACCGGCUAACUACGUG